ensembl:lncRNA
AGUCUCGGUUUUCUGCGCAAUCCAGCUUGAAAGUGACGACCUUGGGACCGGCGGAUUGUCACCUUGCUGCCACCACUCAUGUGGACGCAGGAUGUCACCAGGGCCAUCGGCCCCUCUGAGGUGUCUCCAGAGCUGCUGCAGCCUCUGGUGACUGUGGUGGCCACCUUGGGCAAGUUGGGGACCAUCCCUGGGGACAUCUCCCUGGGAGGGGACAUGGGCUCACUGCGGGCCAGGCUGCUGACCUUCAGCUCUAGCGUGCGCAGAGCCAUGGUGCACCCGGAUGGCAAUGCCACCCUCCUGCGACAUGCUCUAGGGGCCACCAAGGAACAGUCUGGUGCCCCCACAGCCAUCACCGACUCAUGGCAGAAGGCGGUGACCACGGUGAAGGACAUCUGGGCCAAGCUGCAGGAGGAUGCUGCAUGCCUGAGGGAUGCCUGUGGGGCUGUGGCCACUGCCAUGGCCACCACUGAGGCCACCAAGGGCCACCUGGUGGAAGCAGCGACACAGGAGGACAAAGCACACAAAGGGUUGAUGGCUGCCACCAGGGUGGUGGUGGUGUCCUCAGAGGUGGCCCAGGUGACAGAGGUGGUGGCAGCUCAUGAUGCACGGGUGGCAGAGGCCAGGGAAGGGCUGCAGGCAGCCACCAAGGCCACCGAGGAGGUGGCGGCAGCAGUGGUGGCAGCAUUGGAAGCCAAGAAGAGGGGACAACACGCAGCAGUGGCCCAUGGGCUCCUUGAGCAGUUGGUAGCAGCCUGUAUGGGGGCCUACAACUACUACAGUCAUGUGGAGUGCUGCCUCAGGGACAUCAAGGCCAUGGUGGGUGUCACUACUGGAGAUGGUGGCCCUGAUGUCCCCAAGGCCACCCAGGGGGACAUGGAUGUCCCCAAGGAGCUGGCGGAGAUAGUGGUGGUGGCUGAGGCGCUGUGGGAUGCCAGCGCCCAGCUGGCCCAGGAGCACCUCUUGGGGACACUGCGGGGUGUUCGGAGCCUGCUGGCCACCUCCAGUGUCACCGAGGCCACUAAGAUCACACAGCGCUGCCAAGAGGCCUCCAAUGCCCUACCCAGGCUGCUGCCACCAGGGCUGUGCUAGGGGACAAAUGUGUCCAUCAGGGACUGGUGGCACUGACACAAUCAUGGGAUCAUGGAGACGGCAGAUGGGGCCUUUGGGACCACCAUUCCAACCACCAAUGGACUGAGGGCUGUCACUAAAUGUCACCUCAGUGUCACUUCCGUGCAUCCCCUCAACAUCUCCAGGGACCACUUCCUGAUAAAAAUGGGAAAACAAUUUUGUUUUAUAAAAAUUAUUUUGUUUUAUAAAAAUGUUAUCACGUGAUGAGGUUCUGGCUCCAUGUCACUUUAUCCCUAAUGUGUCAGCAGGAUCCUCACACAUCCCCUCCUCUGUCCCCUUCUCAUGUCUAUUUCCCCGUUCCUUUCCAUGCUCCUAUGUAUCACCUACUCUUGUGUCCGUUUCACGUCCCAUCUACAUGCCUAUAUGUCACUUCUGCUGUGUCUCUUCCAUGUCACUUCCUGCUGGGCACAUGAGGGUUCCUGGUGUCCCCAAAGCCACCUCAACCAUACAAAGGGGUCCUGGUGUCCCCACGGGGAGCUCCUGGUGUCCCCAUUGUUGGUUCUGGGAUUCCCAAAGCCACCAUUACCACAUAAGGGGAUUCUGGGCUCCCCAUGGGCGACCUGCUAUCUCCAAGGCCACCGUGGCCAUGUCCCUGUCACCUCCUGUGUGCAUUACCACAUGUCCCCUCUAUGUUAUCAUGCCCCCUCCUGAAAUGGGGGGAGAUUGGAGACUCCCAGACCCUGCAGGGAGGUGACAGCCCCCAACCAUCAAAACCAACAAGCAUAGUCCAGGAGUGGUCCUGUCACAUCCUGCGACAGGCCAGGGGCUCCUGGAGUCACUGAGGCACCACUGAGGGGUCUCGGGCUGCUAGGGGGGCAAGAUGGGAGGGUUGGAUAAGGAGCUCCAGUCUGCAGGUCUGGUGGGGUCACUGCAAACCCUGGGACCCCAACUCCUAUGGGACAACCCCAAAAAUAGCACCCCUAAGAGUCCCCAACCCUAGUGGGAUCCCCUCAGGUCUCCUCAGGACCCCUCAACCUCCAUGGGAUCCCCGUGACCCCUUCAAAAUCCCCUAACAUCAAUGGGACUCCCCACUCUCUGCUAAAUCCAAUAAGCCCACCCGAAAAAAGGCAGGACCCAUGGGAACCUGCAGACCCUCCCAAUUUCUAUAGGACUCCCUCCAAUGAAAAAAGGAGCCCUGAGAGCUCCACAAACCAAUGGGACCCCCAACCACAAUGGGACUCCCCAAACCUCCCAACCUCCAUAAGACCCCCUCCAAAAAAAAAUCAGAAUAGGAGCCCUUGGAGUCCACAGUCCCAAUGGGAGUCCUCCAAACCCUCCCAACCCCAACCAGACCACCCCCUCAAAAAAUCAGUACCUCUAGGAGCCCCUAACCUCUAUGGGACACCCCCUUUAUCUCACUCUAAUGGGACUCCAAAUUCCUCCCAUGCUCUCCUGAUGUUCCUUGGUGGUUUUGGUACACUCAUGGUCUCAUCACUGUUCCCUCCCGGGUGGUUCUGGGCCCCCAUGUCCCCUCGGUCCCUGUCCAAGAGGUUCUGGGACCCCAAUAUCAUCCUCAAUGUCCUUUUUUCCCUCUCCAGCGGCUCUGGAUUCCCAAUCACUGAAAAAUCACAACUGUGUUUCUUCACCAGCAAUUACAGCUGAACCCAGAACUUUCUCACACCUCAAUUAGAAAUAAAAAUUAAAAUAAACUUCA